rnacentral:rRNA from 1 species
UACGAAGGGGGCUAGCGUUGCUCGGAAUCACUGGGCGUAAAGGGUGCGUAGGCGGGUCUUUAAGUCAGGGGUGAAAUCCUGGAGCUCAACUCCAGAACUGCCUUUGAUACUGAGAUCCUUGAGUCGGGAGAGGUGAGUGGAACUGCGAGUGUAGAGGUGAAAUUCGUAGAUAUUCGCAAGAACACCAGUGGCGAAGGCGGCUCACUGGCCCGAUACUGACGCUGAGGCACGAAAGCGUGGGGAGCAAACAGG